AACUAAACCUAAACUAAUCCUAAUCCUAAAUAACACCCCAACAGUCGUUCUAUCCUCCUUUGCCUCUUUCUUCAUUUCAAUUUUUUUUUUUUUUGCUUUCUUUCUUUGUUUUCAUAUGAAUCAGACCGGAGGCCAUGAACCACCAUGGCCACCACCCUACGCUACCCCGACGAGAGGUCAAGCUACAAAGCACCAACGAAACCCGACCCCUUCAGGGGAUGACGCUGGUGGUCUUGUUGGUGACUCGACGGUGCACGGCCGGAGCAUGCGGCGACAACGGCACUAUCAUUGUUGGAGGCGGCGACAACUUGUAUUUUAGGGUUUAGAAACCCUAAUUAUUGUUGUUGCUGAGUUGGGCCGAAUUUAGGUCUUGAUCCAGUUUGUUGGGUUGUAACUUGUUAUCUGGGCUGUUGGGCGUGGGCUCCAGGAUUUGUAUUAUGGUCUUGUAAUUGUCUCCUGAUUGGCCUGCAUAAAUGUAAUAUUAAUAUUAAUAAUAAUAAUAAUAGUAUAGUAAUAAUAUUUAUAA